UUAUAUGGUAUUUAAUAAUUAGAGGCUCAUGUUCGUUAUGAUUUGACAGAUUUCGUAUGAGUUCAUUAAAAAGUAUGAGAUGAAGUGUGCCAUAUACUGUUUUCAGUAGCAGCAAGCCAAAUUAGUGUAAUUUUUAAAAAAUAUUUUAGUAUCCACUAAAAAGGAUUGAAGGUGGCUUAAUAUAGCUAUUACUAAGACAAUCAAAUAGAACUAUUUAAAACAGCCCAGUAAAAAGUUUUAAGAAGGAUCAUGGCUUACCAGUCGCAUCUUCUUUUGCCUCACAUUUUCUUAUAUUAAUAGCUAUCUAUGUUGCGGUUCCUAUUAUAUUUAUUCCUGUAACUUCUUCAAACUUCUGUUAUUCUUUGGCCUCUAUAACCAAGACAAAUAGAAGUGUUUAUGUUGCAUUACCAAAUGUUAAAGAGACUCAUUAGUCCUUGUAUAAAAGGCAAGCAGACUUUCAUGUGCAUCAUUAAAUGAUGCAGGGGGCUAUGUGUGUCACAAUUGUUUAAUCUGCCAGCCAAUGACAUUUAACCAAGGAUAUUGGAGCAGGACAACUGGAGGUAAACCCCCUUGGGCUUUAAUCUCCGUGAAAUUAAAAAAGGGAAUUGGAAAUCAGUAUACUAUGAGAUCAGUUUGGUUGCUGGAACAAAGCAAGUGCCAUGGAUGCUGGAAGCCAGAAUAUGAUUAACUGUGAAACCUGUGGAAGACAUUUCACACAAGAUGCAUUGGCAAGACAUGCACCAAUAUGCAAAAAAGUCUUCAACAAAAAACGCAAACCAUUCAAUUCCUUGAAACAACGACUUCAGGGAACUGAGAUUCCAACAGUAAAGAAACAACCUAUAAAGCGCCAGCCAGAAAAAAAAUCUAAUUGGAGACAACAGCAUGAGGACUUCAUUACAACUAUCCGAGCAGCUAAACUUGCCACUAUAGCUAUGAAAGAAGGCCGUCCCCUGCCUCCUCCUCCACCGCCUACCAUUAAUCCAGAUUAUAUCCAAUGCCCUUACUGCAUGAGAAGAUUUAAUGAGGCUGCAGCAGAAAGACAUAUAAAUUUCUGCAAAGAACAAGCUGCAAGGCGUGCCUUUGCUCCAGCUCAGAAAGGAACCAAGAUGCCCUCAGACAUGCUGCUGGAACUUCCGAGAGAGCAGCACCAAAGAAAGCACCUGCUGGCCCUUCUGGAAAAUAGUCCAGAGCUCUAUCACAGAACAGAAGAUAAUGAUAGAAUGCCUCACCAAGCAUUUGAAAAGCAGUAUUUACUUUUUACGGUAUUGCUAUCAGAGACCAGCAAGCAUUCAUCUCACAAGAUGGAUUGAAAUAAAACAAGUAAGAUCAUAUUCCAGUUAAUUGAUUUUUUCCCUAAGUACUAAUCUUGAACAAAUUAUUUAUCUAUUUAUUACAUCACUUCUACCCCGCCCUUCUCACCCAUCAGGGGACUCAGGGCGGCUUUAGAAUACCACAAUGAAACUAUAGUUUUCUAUUUGUUGUUAUUAAAUGUUUUCCCUAAAGUUUUGUCUAUUUCUUACUUGGUAAAUUGGUAGCUGUGUAUAAAUCCUUCAGUUAUGCCACUAUCUAUAAUAAAAAGAAUUCAGUAAGAAUCCAGAACUAGUAAUACUUGCAUUAAGAGAGAACCCUCUGUUCCAGCUCCUAGUCCAUUUAAUGUAAACUGAGCACCAAUUAUUAAAAGCCAUUAUUAAUUUUCCCCAUGCAUCUACAAAUGUGCAACUAAUUUUCCAACAGCAUUCAACACUGCUUUAUGUUUGCCAUAUGAAUUAAGUAUCCAUACAAACAGGCCAGAAAACACCUCACAUGGUAUUUAUUAAGUUGUUAAAAUGCAACUAAUUCUAUAGUGGCAUUUAACACUCAAAGUAUUUCUUGGUUGAUGUUCACUAUAUGAAUUAGCCAUCCAGAGAAAUGGGCUAGAAAAUGUCACUCUGUGAGGUGUUCACUGUUGAAAUGCAACUAAUAUGGCAAUUGCAUUUAAUGUGAUGUCAAAUGCUUUCAUGGCUGAAAUCACUGGGUUGCUGUGAGUUUUCCAGGCUGUAUGGCCAUGUUCCAGAAUCACCUUGAUUAGCAUUGAAAAGACUUAGAGCUUCAAGUCCUAGCUGAUUCCUGCCUGGGAAAUCCUUUGUUGGGAGAUGUUCAGCAGAAAGGAGGAAACCAUGAAAAUGAACAAAAUCUGGCCACCUGUAUUAAAACUCUAAAAUCAGGUCAGUAAAUAAAGAACAACACUCAGAAGACAGGGGAAUUCCAGACAUGAAACAAUCAGCACCAGCUAACACCUCCCAACAAAAGAUUCCCCCAGGCAGUAAUCAGCCAGGCCUUGAAGCUGCAAGGCUUUUCAAUGCUAAUCAAGGUGAUUAAUUGCAACAUUCACACUUGCCUCCAAUAGAAAAGAGUUCUUUCUCCCUUGCUUAGUUUCAAUAUACCUCACAAACUCUGAGGAUGCCUGUCAUAGAUGUGGGCAAAACCUCAGGAGAGAAUGCUUCUGAAACAUGGCCAUACAGCCCGGAAAACCCAACUGCAUUUAACGGUAUAAAUGUAUUUCUUUGUUCAUGUGUACUAUAUGAAUUAAUGCAGACAAAUGGGUUAGAAAACACCUGGCAAGGUAUUUAUUAAAUUGCUACAACAGCUGACUUUAUAGAACUGCGUUUCAGUUCAUGUUCGUUAACCAUCCAGACAAAAAGGCAAGAAAACACCUUCCAUAGAAUUAUUUCUGGCGUCAUGUCUGCUAUAUGAAUUAUGUUUGGGUGGCAUGUGUCAAGAUGCAACCCAUUUUUAAUCUGUUCGAAUCAAGCAUCCAAACAAACGAGUGAGAAAGCAUAUCGCGUAGCAUUUAGUAGCGGCUAAAACGCUCCGGAGUCAGAGGAAUAGGAAAGGUGUUCUGGCAAGUCCGGAAAGCAAGCCACGUUUGUGUCGGAAAGCAGAAGAAGGGAAACGGCCGGCCUUGGGUUUCUCCCGGUGCCUGGGAGGCGGAUUUUCAGAGUCCAGGUGGCUCUUGAGUGGUGCCUGCUGUGAAGAGUGCAGUCGAGGCAGGAAGAUCGGGGGCAAGGUGAGGCCUCUCUUCAGCUUCGCAAAGGGCGCCGCUUCCCUCCAUCCCGCUCUCUCUGCGAGCUCAGGACUCGUCGGGCUUGUCUGCGGGGGGCCCGCAGGGCUGCAGCAUCUUCUCCAUGAGGUUGAAGCGGACGCGGGCCUUGCUCUCGUCCUCGGCGAUGGCGAAGUAGUUGAGCAGGUCGAAGUGGCCCAUGUAGGAGCAGUACGAGUCCCGGUGCUGGUUCACCAGCCACUCCCACUUGGUCGUGUCCGCGUGGCCCGUCCCGAUGUACUUGGACUGCAGGUGCUCCAGCUGGCUAUGGAUGGUGUAGCGGUCCGUCAUGGCGGCGGCAACGGCAACAACAGCUUCACGAAUCUGGCAAACACUCCGCGGCCUUAAGCUACCCGCCAAGCGUCUCUCAGGAGAAAAAAAGGAGCCCGGAGGAAACGGACAGACCUUGCGCGCGAGAGAGCACUUCCGCUUCCGGAUUAAGACACACUCACACACUCUCUCCCGUCUUCCAUUUUGCUCGUUUCCGCUUCGUUGGAAGGCGGGACUUCUAACCCUCGCAGCCAAUAGUAUUUCUUGUCCUCUGCUUUCCUUCAACAAAUGAGAAAAGAGAUUUCGUUUCACGUUUCUCGGGGGACGGAAGGGCGGGAACUCGGAAGGGAGGCCGAAAUGGGCGUAUUUAAACGUCUCCCGUUGGGAAGGCGUUGUUGGACAUCAAUCUCUGUAGUCAGGAGUGACUGAAUUAUCUACCAGAUACAGAAAUGACUGGCUUCCAGGAGAAGCAGGUAAUUAUUCUAAGUGCAGCCACCUCCCUGGAUGGACAUUUUGAACACAAAGGAGUUUCUGAAAUGUUUGUUCCUCAUCACAGUUUCCUUGAGGUGCUUGUGUAUAACCGGUACCUGGUUUAAUUUACUUAAACUGCAUUUUAUGGGGGUAUUUUGGGAGAUGUGUUGUCAGUAUUAUUUAUUUUUAGUUACUGACUUCAUUUUGUUUUCCUUGUGAAAAAAUUCUGGAUGAUGUGUCACAUAUAUAACCUACUGUUUUAGAAACAGAGGACAAAGACUGUCAAUUAAAAUUGGUUAACGGCAUGCAUCAACAAGUUAGUACAGGAUCCUAAAAACACAAUAGAAAUGCAGUGACAAUACCAAACAGAGCUAAACCAGGAAUUUACAAAAAGCACAGUCAAUGAAUUCAGGAACUAUACAGAACAAAGAAGCAAUUGGUUAAAUAAUCUAGAACAUAUUACAAUGUUAGCCUUCAGAAAGUUUUUUUGUUUCUCCUUCCCCCACAUCUAAGGGAACCUAAGCCCAGCAACACUGUCCCUGGAAUUCCCCAUCACAUGUGUAAGUGGGAAGCAUGCAAUACGGUACAGUAUUACUCUUCUAACUCAUUUCUGCUUUUAUUUUUUCUGAUGUCUUGACUUCCAGUAAACAAAGCAAUUUAUUUUCUCUUUAGAGUGGAGCUGGAGAAAGUACAUUGAAAAGAUAAUAAAAUGUUGUGGUAACUCAUCUUCCUUAAGAAAUGAAAUCUGAAGUUGAGAUAACAAUAUGUGAGCAGGAAGAAGACAAUAAACUGAUAAAUAACUGAUGGACCCAUAGGUGUAAGUUGGUGUGUUCUAGGAAAUGUUAUUCACUCUUAUGUUGGGAGUGUAAAAUUAUUUAGAGAAAUUGACCGUGACAGCUUUUUUUUUUUUUAACCCUAUAGAAGUAGCCUAAAAUUUCUGCAUACCUGGCUUUAAACAGAUUGUGACGGAACCAUCACCAUCCAUCAGUUUUUAUAACCCCCUGAGAAGGAUACAACAUAGAAAAGGUUACAAAUAAGAACACAAAAAACAGUAAUUAAAAUAUUAAACUUUCAACAAAAGUGAAUCUAUGUAAAACAGUAAUGUAAAAGAAAUAUUAAAAACCGUACAGUGCAAAGUCUUUUUCUUGCAAAACCAUCCUCUCUCAAAAGCCUGCUGGUGUUUAAAAUGUUUCUUUCACCUAUGAAAAAAACAGGAGAGAGCAAGUGAGGUAGUCUCCCUAGAAAGGGAGGUCCAGAGACUCAGAGUAGCCACGGAGAAUCCUGCUCCAUAAUCAACCCUGUCUUUGAAGAUGGUAGGAUCUAGAGAAGAGCUUGCUGAGAAGAUCUCAAAACAUGGGCAAUCUCAUAUGUCAAAAUAUAUGAUCUUUCAGAUAGCAUGCACCCAAAUCAUAGCCAGCACUUUAAAUUAUAUACUUCUACAAAAAACAAAAAAACAAAACAAAAAAAAACAGUGGAGAGUUGGUAGGCAUCAUCUAAAGGGCAACAUACACCACACUCCUGAACUCAUGAGAAGAUAAAGAUGGCCUUGCUGGAUAUUUAGUAUGACAUAACAUGAACAUCUCCCCUGCUCUGUUCAUCAUCACUACUUCAUCACACAACCGUUAGGUCCGUUUCACAACAAAACUUACAGAAUUGCAUACUUGCCACAUGACUUUUUGCAGAUUCCCUUGAAGAAUUUGCAAGAAAUCAUGAUCAUUAGAAGAAAAGGUUGGGCUUUCAUGGUUUCAUAAUCUUCUUAUGGUUUUGUGAUGUAUAAUCAGAAGGACAAGAAAAUCUCACAUUUGGGCUUUGUUUUUGGAAAUUAUUUUAAUGGUUUCAUAAUCUUCAUAUGGUUUCAGAAGAACUUUAGAAAUGUCUGGACAAGAAAAUCUCACAUUGCUUCAAGACUCACCAGUGCAUGAACUAUAAACAUAAUAAUGCCUACAUGCAAUCAGCUAGCAAUGUGCUCUAAUGUCUUGAGAUGAGCUCUCAGUCAGCUAAUCACUAUUUUACAGUGACCAGUGAUACAGAAACCCAUGACAAAGGCAUUUCUACUGAACAAUUAACACUUACCAUCAUUUAAAGAGACAAGCAAACAUCCACCUGUCAGUCUCCUGUAUACAGUACUUUCACUACAAUGAUAUAAAACUGAUGUGGAUGCAUGUGCUUGGUAACGUUCCACACACAAACACAUCUACCAGUUCCUAGGGAAGUAGGGUUCCCUCAUUAUUUAUUUCAGGUUCAGAUCUGUUUCAGAAGAUGGAACCAAAUUGUGGAUCACCAUCAAAAUGUGCCUCUUGGAGCAAGAAAUGCAGGUUCUCUACCUGAAAAAAGAUCAAUUUGUAAUUUUUGUUGAGUCAGACUGAUUCAAAUUCCCUUUAAUUGGUUUCAGUAGGAGGAAAAGUGUAAGAAAAGAAAGGGAAAAAAUAGAGUUUACUGGGAGAGUGAUUAAAAUGGCUUAAUCUUACUUCUGCCUAGCUGGGCUCAUGCUGGCAAAGGUUUGGUUUUAUGUGAGAUUACAACAUCAACAAUGGGAGAUAAGAUGACUCGGGCUGGAUCUAACUGUCAUAUAAUUCUAUUUCAGAAUAUAGAUUAACUACUUUGAACUGGAUUAUAAGAGUCUAUACUGCCAUAUAAUAACCCAGUUCAAUGCAGUUUAUCUGCAUUCAGAACUGCAUUAUAUGGCAGUGUAGAUGGGGCCUUGGUUAAGAUUUCCUUUCUCCUAUAACCCUCCUGAAUGAACUGUACUACUCUAUACCAUAUAGACCCUCUUUCAGCAUCCAUAUAAUGGAAUUAACCUAAUUUUAUCCUGCCCUGUAGUAAAGAGUUAACUUGUUUAUUGCAGUACUAAAAUUAUUUUUUCACUGGACUGUGCCUGGUUAGGAUUCUCUAGUAGACCAUGUCCAGCACUAGAAACCUUGCUCAAACUCUUAAGAGAGCAGAGCUCUCGAUGUCAUUCUAACAAGCAUCAAAAUGCACUAGUACUGCCAAGCAUUAAAGUCCACUCGUGUGAAGUCUUGGCUCUGCCUUUUCCUCUCCUUUACUUUAGAUCCCCUGUUUAUAGGUUUUCCCAAUAGUGUAGAUACCUCCUUUUUUAUUAGUUUUUGGGCGGAGCAUAAAAAACCCCUAGAGGCCAGCCUUAGUUGGUCUAUUUCAUUUGUCUGUACAGAGCAAUCUUGCUAGACUUCUCCUUUCUGCAGCAGAGCUACAGUGACUAGAGGCUUGGGCAUUGUCUGGUAAUCCUAGGCCCAAGCAAUCCAAAACAGGCAUCCUUAGCACCUGCAUUCAGCAGUAUUCAUAUACCACCAUUCCCAGAGACAACAGAAGCUUUUGACCAGCUUAAGUUUCACAAGAAAGAAGGUUGAGACAAUUUAUGAGCACCAGCUUGUAAACCAUCACUUUGCAUCAGAGGCAAAAUCUCCUUUCGUAAUGUAUUGUUCUAAGUUAUCUUAUAAUAUUCCUGGGUGGAGUUAACCCUUUAUUCAUCUUGUUCUCAGUAAAACUCACUUUGGUUAUCUUUUUACCUUGCCUAAAGUGCCUCUGUAUGUUAAGGGUCUUGAUCUUAACAGAAGGUAUACAGAUAGCCUCUGAGUAAAGCCAGACACAAUAGUUUUUACCAAAGGCUCGGGCAUGCCAUCACAACUUGUACCUCCAAGAUUCACUUGGCUCCCACCCUAAAAUUUAAUCACAUUUCUAGAUAUGCCCUGCCAUCAGGCAGUUUGACUACUUUUCUGUUUCCGUCCCAGUUCCUGGUCUUUAAUAACUUCAUAAUCUCUGUUCUGACUUAAUUGCCCCUCUCUUUUUAGCUGCUGCUUCUGACAGAGCGGUGACUACAAUUGCCUUCAGAGAAAAAGCCAAGCUGCCUUAAUUAGAAACAUGGGCUUCUCAACAUCUUUGUUGCAAACCUGGAACUGGUUGCCAAGCUGUGUUUUCCCCUAACAGGACAUUCUAGGGGAAGUAUAUCUCAAGUUCAGUGGAAGGACCAAAAGCCUGCUACUUACAAGAGGGAAAACCCAGCAAAACGUAGUGUGAAAGUUCAGUUUAUGAUCUGCAAAGAGCUAUGUGCCUUGUUCUUUCAGAGUUUGCAUAAUCAAAAAAAUUUCCAAGUGCAGUUUAUGCCACACAGUGAGAGAGAUCAGUCAGCUCAACAGCAAGGCUAAGAAACAAAUCAACAACAGCACCACCCACCCAGAACAGUAAAGUGGGUAAUUCUGACAAUGGGGAUAUAACCAACAAUAUUUUAAAGGUGAAAAGGAAAAGUAAUGCUAAAACUGCCAUUACUGAAGAGAUGAAAAGUGCUGUGUAGUAAUUAAAAACUGACAGCUUCAUCUCAGUCAAGGGUGGGAAAUGCAAAAAUGUGUUUACUCACAACUAAGUUUACAUACCUUAUUGCCAAAUAAAUGUAGGUAGAAUUUGAGACUUUGAAAAUGAAGCCUGCAUACACUCCAACAUUUCACAGAUGAAAUCUGGGAUACUUCAGGGUGAAAUCAAGAUUAUUAACGAGAAAGAACAAACAAACUAGCAAAGGUUGCGGCAGUUUUCUUUUGCAUGAGUCUACUAGGAAAGGCAAGAUUCCACUCUCCUCCUCUUUGUCCAGCUGAGUAAUUUUGAUGAAAUAUUUUAAUUUUUGAUCCUAACUUUAACGAUGGUUUCCUUCCUAUUGUACAAAGUUCUGGGUUUGUUUUUGUUUUUUUUAAAAAUGAAAUCAAUGUGGUAUGUUAUUAAAUGAAUAGUUUAAUGAUUGCUUGUUAGACAGGGAUUCCAGAUUAAAGUUGAGAUCAGGCCUCCAUCGCAGUGUGAAAAUUGCAGGCAGACGCGGAGAAACAAGAGUGCACAGGAAUGUGUUUAUGUCUUGCAAGGAGGGUAAUUUGGGAAAGAUUCCAGUCAAAGCAACCUCGCUUUUGGAGAAUCAACUCUUGUCUUGUUCAAGCCUUGUCUUAUGCCUAGAAUCUGUGUUUGGGUUACUUUUGAAGCUCAUAUAUUCAUGUUACCUUGGAUUUACUGUGCUAUAUUUGGGAUUUUGGACUAAUAUCUACAAAAUCAUUUAACUGUGCUUAAGGAUUGCACUUGCAAUUGGUUUUUACGUAUUUUUCUGCUUUCUAAUAAGUUUUGCUAUCUUUCUUCAAUAAACUGAAAAGACUCAA